UUACAAGAAAAAUCAAUAGUUAAAUAUUAUUGAAUAACGAAAUUUUAAAAAGUUACCACAAGUUUGAGUCAAAAACACUUCUAAUAAAAUUUAAUCAAAAAAAUUAUAACUAGUCCACUUGACUAAAUAUUAAUAACUAAUUGAUCAAAUUUUUCCCAAGUCCUCAAUCCAUUGGACUUGAUAUUCUUCAGUCAUGUGAACGAACAUUUUGCGAAUACUAAGAUUAAGAAAGUGCGGCACCGC
rnacentral:lncRNA from 1 species